CUUACAUCCGACCACGCUCUCGGGCAAGCGUGCAAAGGAGUGCUGUUAACGAUGACAAGUACAGCUUCACAGCACAUCAUGAUUAGCUACAAAUAGGAAAAGCUGUCAAAGUCUGUGAUGAGCGAGAUCAAGAGCCAGCUGAUAAGCAAGGGGUACAACGUGUGGAUGGACGAAGAUCGUAUGGGAGGAGAUAUCUAUGAUUGCAUGGCUAAAGCUGUGGAGAACUCCUAUUUGAUCCUGGUCUGUAUCACAAAGGGAUAUCAGGAGAGCGAGAACUGUCGUUUAGAAGCACGUUAUGCUCUUGUUAAAGAAAAGCGGAUUGUCCCCGUAAAGGUGAACGAAGCAUUCAAGGCCUCGGGAUGGCUCGGGGCCAUCACCGCAGGGAAGAUGUACUACCUCAUCCAAAAUGAAAAAACAGGUUCCCAGCCAUCUUCCCACGAUCAUUGACCGGGAGAUUGAGCAUGAACUACAGAAGAAUCAUGAUGCACAGUCGGGGGCACGAAGCGGUGGACCAGUUGAACCGGAGGUCCGUACAUGGGACGCCACCAAAGUCCGCGAGUGGCUGACAUCCAACGGCAUCAGUUCCACCAACGAGAGUCUUCGGAACCUCACCGGGCUGCAUUUGCUGCAGAUUAAGAAGCAACUGGCGAGAGCUCCGGAUUCGUUCUACCCGUCCAUGAAAGAAGAAUUGAAGGUCCCCUACCUGGAAGUCCUUUUGUUAGCCGCAGCUUUGGAGAACCUCUGAGAGAUUUAUGUCGGUCGUUCUUCUUUUUCUGUGGUUGGAGCUUCCCAAUAUAAUUCAUUUUAAUUAUUGUAAGUGUCAAAAUUGUGUCACCAAAUAAUAUAUUUUACAUUAUUAUUCCCCAUUUCUAUUGUGCGAAAUUGUCUUGCUGAACACUUUUGUAUACGAUCAAGUCUUUUGCAAAGAGUUUCAGCCAUUGAUUAGAAGCUUAGAUCCAACUCUCAAGAACUCCUAGUCCUAGUGUGAUAUGGAUAUGGACUAUGGAUCACUUUGUUUGUGGUUAAAGUUCCAUUGCGGCAAUAAUGUCUUUUGUCAAGACAUUAAUCUGUAUUUGACACUCUCCACCCUGGUGAUGUUAGUGUGUACUUGGUAGAGGAAGACAUUUCUCUAAUGCCAGAGCAUCUUACCAGGGCCGUUCGGCUUAUGCCAGAGUACACGCAUAGAAACAUAUACACAAGUAUUAAGCGAUAUAUAACUGUUACUACUAUCAAUAUCAUUAAGCUAUGUAUAUAUGUACAUAAGUCUUCUUCUUUUUCUCGCACUUCUACGAUCGAAAGUCCAUGCGUUGUGAGGGGUGUCCUAAAACUGUAUUUUCUUCUGCAUAACGAUCAACUAACUUCAUGUUUUGGGCCUGCCUCAAAACAGUUAGAUUUGAGCUAAAUGUUAUUUAGUCAGUUUCCAGAAUUUUGCUUCAAGACAAUAACAAUGUAAUAUUUAAGAUUAAUUUGCAUUUCUCACGUAGAGAAUGCAAAAUCUAAGGCAUUCCUUUUGAAGAAAGAAAUAGUGAUUUGAGCAAAGUAGGAGUAUUUGGAAAGAUGAAUAAGACUAUAAGUAAUUCAUGAAAAAAGAUAAUUAGAUAUUCACAAGUAUAUUUAAACAGAUUGGCAAUUAGUUUUGAGCUAAAUUAUUAUAUGAUAGUUGCUAUUCCGGUAUUUCAUUUUAUUUCUUCAUUCACAUUAAAAAAAAUAUCUUUUAAACUAAUCUUUCAAAGUAUACACUCUCCUAUGUUAGAAAUAAACGUCACUAUCAAAGGUAUUUUUUGUUGUUAAAACAGUGAUAACCGUAACAAUACUCUCAGUGCUCAAAUGUAUCGAUGUAACAUGGUUUUAAAAACUAAUAUGAGUAAGAGAGAAAAAAAGAGAGAAUUUCCUUUUUUAAAAUUAA